AUGGCUGUCGUCAGCUCGUGUCGUGAGAUGUUCGGUUAAGUCCGGCAACGAGCGCAACCCACAUCCCUGGUCGCCAGCAAUUCGGGUGGGCACUCUAUGGAAACUGGCCGUGAUAAGCGGGAGGAAGGGGGGGAUGACGUCAAGUCCUCAUGGCCCCUACGGAUUGGGCUACCCACGUGCUACAAUGGCAGUGACAAUGGGUUAAUCCCCAAAAACUGUCUCAGUUCGGAUUGGGGUCUGCAACUCGACCCCAUGAAAUCCGAAUCCCUAGCAAUCGCGUAACAGAAUGACUCGGAGAAUACGUUCCCAGGCCUUGUACAAACCGCCCGUGGGGCGGGGGCGGCGGGCCGGGGGCGGGGCGCGGCGGGCG
rnacentral:rRNA from 1 species